UACGUAGGGUGCAAGCGUUGUCCGGAAUUAUUGGGCGUAAAGAGCUCGUAGGUGGUUUGUCGCGUUGUUCGUGAAAACUCACAGCUCAACUGUGGGCGUGCGGGCGAUACGGGCAGACUAGAGUACUGCAGGGGAGACUGGAAUUCCUGGUGUAGCGGUGAAAUGCGCAGAUAUCAGGAGGAACACCGGUGGCGAAGGCGGUUCUCUGGGCAUUACCUGACGCUGAGGAGCGAAAGUGUGGGGAGCGAACAGG
rnacentral:rRNA from 1 species